GGAAAAGAAACCAACAGGGAUUGCCUCAGUAACGGCGAGUGAAGCGGCAAAAGCUCAAAUUUUAAAGCUGGCAUCUUCGGUGUCCGCGUUGUAAUUUUGUGAGGCAUCUCCGGGUAGGGCGCCGGCCUAAGUUCCUUGGAACAGGACGUCACAGAGGGUGAGAAUCCCGUGCUUGGCUGGCUGUCCCCGUCCAUGUGAGGUGUCUUCGACGAGUCGAGUUGUUUGGGAAUGCAGCUCAAAAUGGGUGGUAAAUUUCAUCUAAAGCUAAAUAUUGGUGGGAGACCGAUAGCGCACAAGUAGAGUGAUCGAAAGAUGAAAAGCACUUUGAAAAUAGAGUUAAAAAGUACGUGAAAUUGUUGAAAGGGAAGCGCUUGAGACCAGACUUCGGUAGGGGGUGAUCAGCCGUCCUUCUGGGCGGUGCACUUGCCCCCCUCCGGGCCAGCAUCGGUUGAGGCGGCGGGAUAAAGGUCCCGGGAAUGUGGCUCCUUCACGGGAGUGUUAUAGCCCGGGUGAAUGCCGCCAGUCUCGACCGAGGACCGCACCCGCAAGGGUUA
rnacentral:rRNA from 1 species